ACGCACGCUGGCGGCGUGCUUCACACCUGCAAGUCGCACGGAAAGGCCCUGCUUUUGUGGGGUGCUCGAGUGGCGAACGGGUGAGUAACACGUGAGUAACCUGCCCUUGACUUUGGGAUAACUUCAGGAAACUGGGGCUAAUACUGGAUAGGAGCUCCUGCUGCAUGGUGGGGGUUGGAAAGUUUCGGCGGUUGGGGAUGGACUCGCGGCUUAUCAGCUUGUUGGUGGGGUAGUGGCUUACCAAGGCUUUGACGGGUAGCCGGCCUGAGAGGGUGACCGGCCACAUUGGGACUGAGAUACGGCCCAGACUCCUACGGGAGGCAGCAGUGGGGAAUAUUGCACAAUGGGCGGAAGCCUGAUGCAGCAACGCCGCGUGCGGGAUGACGGCCUUCGGGUUGUAAACCGCUUUCGCCUGUGACGAAGCGUGAGUGACGGUAAUGGGUAAAGAAGCACCGGCUAACUACGUG
rnacentral:rRNA from 1 species